AUUGAACGCUGGCGGCAUGCCUUACACAUGCAAGUCGAACGGCAGCACGGGUGCUUGCACCUGGUGGCGAGUGGCGAACGGGUGAGUAAUACAUCGGAACAUGUCCUGUAGUGGGGGAUAGCCCGGCGAAAGCCGGAUUAAUACCGCAUACGAUCUACGGAUGAAAGCGGGGGCCCUUCGGGCCUCGCGCUAUAGGGUUGGCCGAUGGCUGAUUAGCUAGUUGGGGGGGUAAAGGCCUACCAAGGCGACGAUCAGUAGCUGGUCUGAGAGGACGACCAGCCACACUGGGACUGAGACACGGCCCAGACUCCUACGGGAGGCAGCAGUGGGGAAUUUUGGACAAUGGGCGAAAGCCUGAUCCAGCAAUGCCGCGUGUGUGAAGAAGGCCUUCGGGUUGUAAAGCACUUUUGUCCGGAAAGAAAUCCUUGGCCCUAAUACGGUCGGGGGAUGACGGUACCGGAAGAAUAAGCACCGGCUAACUACGUG
rnacentral:rRNA from 1 species